rnacentral:rRNA from 1 species
AGUGAACGCUGGCGGUAGGCCUAACACAUGCAAGUCGAACGGCAGCACAGUAAGAGCUUGCUCUUACGGGUGGCGAGUGGCGGACGGGUGAGGAAUACAUCGGAAUCUACUUUUUCGUGGGGGAUAACGUAGGGAAACUUACGCUAAUACCGCAUACGACCUACGGGUGAAAGCAGGGGAUCUUCGGACCUUGCGCGAUUGAAUGAGCCGAUGUCGGAUUAGCUAGUUGGCGGGGUAAAGGCCCACCAAGGCGACGAUCCGUAGCUGGUCUGAGAGGAUGAUCAGCCACACUGGAACUGAGACACGGUCCAGACUCCUACGGGAGGCAGCAGUGGGGAAUAUUGGACAAUGGGCGCAAGCCUGAUCCAGCCAUACCGCGUGGGUGAAGAAGGCCUUCGGGUUGUAAAGCCCUUUUGUUGGGAAAGAAAAGCAGCAGGUUAAUACCCCGCUGCUCUGACGGUACCCAAAGAAUAAGCACCGGCUAACUUCGUGC